UACGUAGGGUGCAAGCGUUAAUCGGAAUUACUGGGCGUAAAGCGUGCGCAGGCGGUGAUGUAAGACAGUUGUGAAAUCCCCGGGCUCAACCUGGGAACUGCAUCUGUGACUGCAUUGCUGGAGUGCGGCAGAGGGGGAUGGAAUUCCGCGUGUAGCAGUGAAAUGCGUAGAUAUGUGGAGGAACACCGGUGGCGAAGGCGGCAUCCUGGGACCGGUAUUGACGCUGAGGCGCGAAAGCCAGGGGAGCAAACGGG
rnacentral:rRNA from 1 species